AAUGUCAUCCAUAGUUUUCCUACAGGGAUUGUGGUUAAGGGCAGAUUUUGAAGGACACCGACGUAACUAGAACAAUUUCUCUAACAUCGUUAUAGAGAAUUUUUAAUUCCGGUUUUAUUUAUUAAAUAAUUUUCUCUUAAGUUUGAUAUAGUUAACAUCUUUUAAUUAGUUUGUUUGCUUCUUUUUCAGGCUUGUUAAUGUAAUACUUUUCUUCGCUUAAUUUUUGUUUUUUUUUCUAUUAAAACACCCUAAUAUACCAAUAUUUGUAAAUAAAUAGUUGGACUAUACUUGAUAAAUUACUUAAAAAAGGAAUUAAAACUAAUAAAAUCUAUAAUUCAUUAUCAAUAAUUCAAGGGUUCACAUUUUAAUUAUCAGCUUGUAAAUACCUAAUUUCCGAAUUACUUGGUUUUAGUUUGCAAGCUCAUUAAACAUUUUAUGAACCGUCAGAAUAGAAAUCGCUUUAUACGUGGACUUGAAAGUUGUGUUAGUUGACUUUUGUUUCAAAUCUAAUUCUUGUUUAUGCCAUCAAAUUCUACAUGUGCAAUAUAGCAUCUCCAUCUUUAUCUCAAAUACUACAAACCUUUUUUUAUUGUAGUAUUUAGUUUUUUUCCUUCUUGAAUCGGAUAUUCCUUUUGC